rnacentral:rRNA from 1 species
CCCUUAGAUGUUCUGGGCCGCACGCGCGCUACACUGACGAUGGCAACGAGUUUUUCCUUCGCCGAAAGGUGUGGGUAAUCUUUUGAAACAUCGUCGUGCUGGGGAUAGAUCAUUGCAAUUUUUGAUCUUGAACGAGGAAUUCCUAGUAAGCGCGAGUCAUCAGCUCGCGUUGAUUACGUCCCUGCCCUUUGUACACACCGCCCGUCGCUACUACCGAUUGAAUGGUUUAGUGAGGACUCCUGAUUGGCGCCGCCGCCCCGGCAACGGAGCAGCGGACUGCCGAAAAGUUGUUAAAACUUGAUCAUUUAGAGGAAGUAAAAGUCGUAACA